rnacentral:rRNA from 1 species
AUUGAACGCUGGCGGCAGGCCUAACACAUGCAAGUCGAACGGUAACAGGAAGAUGCUUGCUUCUUUGCUGACGAGUGGCGGACGGGUGAGCAAUGUCUGGGAAACUUCCUGAUGGAGGGGGAUAACUACUGGAAACGGUAGCUAAUACCGCAUAACGUCGCAAGACCAAAGAGGGGGACCUUCGGGCCUCUUGCCAUCGGCUAUGCCCAGGUGGGAUUAGCUAGUAGGUGGGGUAACGGCUCACCUAGGCGACGAUCCCUAGCUGGUCUGAGAGGAUGACCAGCCACACUGGAACUGAGACACGGUCCAGACUCCUACGGGAGGCAGCAGUGGGGAAUAUUGCACAAUGGGCGCAAGCCUGAUGCAGCCAUGCCGCGUGUAUGAAGAAGGCCUUCGGGUUGUAAAGUACUUUCAGCGGGGAGGAAGGGAGUAAAGUUAAUACCUUUGCUCAUUGACGUUACCCGCAGAAGAAGCACCGGCUAACUCCGUG